AGUGAACGCUGGCGGUAGGCCUAACACAUGCAAGUCGAACGGCAGCACAGUAAGAGCUUGCUCUUACGGGUGGCGAGUGGCGGACGGGUGAGGAAUACAUCGGAAUCUACUUUUUCGUGGGGGAUAACGCAGGGAAACUUACGCUAAUACCGCAUACGACCUACGGGUGAAAGCAGGGGAUCUUCGGACCUUGCGCGAUUGAAUGAGCCGAUGUCGGAUUAGCUAGUUGGCGGGGUAAAGGCCCACCAAGGCGACGAUCCGUAGCUGGUCUGAGAGGAUGAUCAGCCACACUGGAACUGAGACACGGUCCAGACUCCUACGGGAGGCAGCAGUGGGGAAUAUUGGACAAUGGGCGCAAGCCUGAUCCAGCCAUACCGCGUGGGUGAAGAAGGCCUUCGGGUUGUAAAGCCCUUUUGUUGGGAAAGAAAAGCAGCAGGUUAAUACCCCGCUGUCCUGACGGUACCCAAAGAAUAAGCACCGGCUAACUUCGUG
rnacentral:rRNA from 1 species